ACACUAAUGUGUGUUUCUGUAUUAAUAGUAAACGCUUCUGUCGAAAAUUUUCCAGGAAUGAAUCAGGAAUCUGAAGCUGAAACACUGAAUUAUGCAGCUGUGCAUUUCUCUAAGAGGAAACCCAAAGCUGAAACAAAGAAAUCUGGUUCAUCAGAUGAGUGUGUGUACGCUGAUGUGAAGAAAACUGCACGCUGUAACAUAAAUGAUUCAUAAUAAAUGGAGAAACACACGGCAGAAGCAGUGAAAAUGUUUUAGAAGCUGGACAGAUAAUUGAUCUGCUGACUGAUGAACGGAUUUCUAGAAGCAAAAUGACUGUAUUUGGUGAAAGUACAAAAAGAAAAGAAAAAACAACAUCAGCAACAACAAAAGCUGAUAAUAUUUAACUUUGUUCACAAUAAUUGCAUAAUAAUACAUAUUAAAUAAAUUUGCCCGUAAUCAUGAUAUUUUUAUUCAC